CGCGUAGGCGGUCCCCUAAGUGUGUGGUGAAAGCUCGGGGCUCAACCCCGAGUCGGCCGUGCAAACUGGGGGACUCGAGCAUGUCAGAGGCAGGCGGAAUUCCGGGUGUAGCGGUGGAAUGCGUAGAGAUCCGGAAGAACACCGGUGGCGAAGGCGGCCUGCUGGGACAUGGCUGACGCUGAGGCGCGACAGCGUGGGGAGCAAACA
rnacentral:rRNA from 1 species